rnacentral:rRNA from 1 species
UACGUAGGGGGCUAGCGUUAUCCGGAAUUACUAGGCGUAAAGGGUGCGUAGGUGGUUUCUUAAGUCAGAGGUGAAAGGCUACGGCUCAACCGUAGUAAGCCUUUGAAACUGGGAAACUUGAGUGCAGGAGAGGAGAGUGGAAUUCCUAGUGUAGCGGUGAAAUGCGUAGAUAUUAGGAGGAACACCAGUUGCGAAGGCGGCUCUCUGGACUGUAACUGACACUGAGGCACGAAAGCGUGGGGAGCAAACAGG